rnacentral:rRNA from 1 species
AACGAACGCUGGCGGCAUGCCUAACACAUGCAAGUCGAACGCGUGUAGCAAUACACGAGUGGCGAACGGGUGAGUAACGCGUGGGAACCUGCCUAGUGGUAGGGAAUAACCGCGGGAAACUGCGGCUAAUACCCUAUGAGCCCUACGGGGGAAAGAUUUAUCGCCAUUAGAGGGGCCCGCGUCGGAUUAGCUUGUUGGUGAGGUAACGGCUCACCAAGGCAACGAUCCGUAGCUGGUCUGAGAGGAUGAUCAGCCACACUGGGACUGAGAUACGGCCCAGACUCCUACGGGAGGCAGCAGUGGGGAAUAUUGGACAAUGGGGGCAACCCUGAUCCAGCAAUGCCGCGUGAGUGAAGAAGGCCUUAGGGUUGUAAAGCUCUUUCGGCGGGGACGAUGAUGACGGUACCCGCAGAAGAAGCCCCGGCUAACUUCGUGCCAGCCGCCGCUGUAACAC